rnacentral:rRNA from 1 species
AAUAGAUACCCUGGUAGUCCUAGCCGUAAACGAUGAGCACUGGGUUGAAGGGUCCUCCAUAGCCUUUCAGCCGCAGCGAAAGUGUUAAGUGCUCCGCCUGGGGAGUAUGGUCGCAAGGCUGAAACUCAAAGAAAUUGACGGGGGCUCACACAAGCGGUGGAGGAUGUGGCUUAAUUCGAGGCUACGCGAAGAACCUUAUCCUAGUCUUGACAUGCACGGAUUAACUCCCUGAAAGGGGAGCCAGGCCUUCGGGUACAACGUGCACAGGUGCUGCAUGGCUGUCGUCAGCUCGUGCUGUGAAGUGUCGGGUUAAGUCCCUUAACGAGCGAAACCCUUGUCGCUAGUUGCCAGCGAGUAAUGUCGGGGACUCUAGCGAGACCGCCGGCGUUAAGCCGGAGGAAGGCGGGGAUGACGUCAAGUCCUCAUGGCCUUUAUGACUAGGGCUGCACACGUCCUACAAUGGCGCGCACAAAGGGAUGCAAAAUCGCGAGAUCAAGCAAAUCCCAAAAAACGCGCCCCAGUUCGG